rnacentral:lncRNA from 1 species
CUGGGCCACCAUUGCUUGCACCUUCAUCAUACCUCCCCAUCACCACCGCAUAGCUCUCUCUCUGAUCCGUUUGCUCCUCAUGGAAGUCCUUCGUCACCUCCCGAUCUCGCUGUCCACCGGGCCGAUUUCCCUUCUUCACAAACCACAGUAUAUGCGCCACCUCCCAAGGGUCCCUCUCCUCAGGCACCUUCAAGUAUCUGGCAUUUGGGGUAGUGACCUGCAAGCUCCGACACCGCCUAAGCCACCAUUGCUUGCACCUUCAUUGGACCUUCUUUGAGGAUUUUGGCAAACACUGAGCACACACCGAUGUGAAUCAUAUGCUCCACGCUCUCCAGAUCAUGGCCGAGCAGCCCGAGUGCCUCCGCCAUGUUCUCUUGGCAUUCUGGUUUGCCCUCUUUGACCAAUUUGAACAAGGGUCCGACUCCACCUUCCUCAAUUAUCAGAGGUGAAGCAUGAGAAACCAACGGCAACCAACUACCACCAGAUUGGGAAGGGAGGUAGGGGUGGGGUGGGAUGGGAUAAGGGGUUGCG